ACCCUGACAUGCCUCAGUAGCGGCGAGUGAGCGGCAGAGCUCAGAUUUGAAAUCGCCUCGGCGAGUUGUAAAUUGCAGGUUGGAGUCUUUGUGGCGGCGUGUGUCUAAGUCCCUUGGAACAGGGCGCCAUUGAGGGUGAGAGCCCCGUGCGGCACGCGUCCAAGCUUUAAGACCCUUCUGACGAGUCGAGUUGUUUGGGAAUGCAGCUCUAAGUGGGUGGUAAAUUCCAUCUAAGGCUAAAUACUGGCGAGAGACCGAUAGCGAACAAGUACUGUGAAGGAAAGAUGAAAAGCACUUUGAAAAGAGAGUGAAACAGCACGUGAAAUUGUUGAAAGGGAAGGGUAUUGGGCUCGACAUGGGGACUGCGCACCGUUGCUUCUUGUAGGCGGCGCUCUGUGCGGUUUCUGGGCCAGCAUCAGUUUUUGCCGCGGGAGAAUGGGGGGAGGAACGUGGCUCUUCGGAGUGUUAUAGCCUCUCUCAGAUGCCGCGAGCGGGGACUGAGGUCUGCGAUUCGUUCAAGGAUGCUGGCACAACGGCGCAAUACCGCCCGUCUUGAAACCACGG
rnacentral:rRNA from 1 species